GUAACAAGGUCUCCGUUGGUGAACCAGCGGAGGGAUCAUUAAAGAGUUUUCGUAACUCCCAAACCCAUGUGAACUUACCUUCUGUUGCCUCGGCAGGUCGUGUCUACCCUGUGGUCACCUACCCUGUAGGUGACUACCUGGUAGUCACGGGGGUUUGCCUGCCAGUGGCCCGUUAAAACACUGUUUAUUAUAUGUUAUUCUGAUUUUACAACUAAAUAAGUUAAAACUUUCAACAACGGAUCUCUUGGUUCUGGCAUCGAUGAAGAACGCAGCGAAAUGCGAUAAGUAAUGUGAAUUGCAGAAUUCAGUGAAUCAUCGAAUCUUUGAACGCACAUUGCGCCCAUUAGUAUUCUAGUGGGCAUGCCUGUUCGAGCGUCAUUUCAACCCUUAAGCCCCUGUUGCUUAGUGUUGGGAGCCUACAGUCCUCUGUAGCUCCCUAAAGUUAGUGGCGGAGUCGGUUUGCACUCUAGACGUAGUAGCUUCUAUCUCGUCUAUAGUUAGGCCGGUCUCUCGCCGUAAAACCCCCUAAUUUUUUCAAGGUUGACCUCGGAUCAGGUAGGAAUACCCGCUGAACUUAAGCAUAUCAAGCAAAAGAAACCAACAGGGAUUGCCCUAGUAACGGCGAGUGAAGCGGCAACAGCUCAAAUUUGAAAUCUGGCCUUCGGGUCCGAGUUGUAAUUUGUAGAGGAUGCUUUUGGCGCGGUGCCUUCCGAGUUCCCUGGAACGGGACGCCUUAGAGGGUGAGAGCCCCGUACGGUUGGACACCAAGCCUCUGUAAAGCUCCUUCGACGAGUCGAGUAGUUUGGGAAUGCUGCUCUAAAUGGGAGGUAAAUUUCUUCUAAAGCUAAAUAUUGGCCAGAGACCGAUAGCGCACAAGUAGAGUGAUCGAAAGAUGAAAAGCACUUUGAAAAGAGGGUUAAAUAGCACGUGAAAUUGUUGAAAGGGAAGCGUUUGCGACCAGACCUUUUCUUGGCGGAUCAUCCGGUGUUAUCACCGGUGCACUUCGCCAAGUUGAGGCCAGCAUCGGUUUUUGUAGGGGGAUAAAAGCCUGGGGAAUGUGGCUCCUUCGGGAGUGUUAUAGCCCCUCGCAUAAUACCCUUACGGGGACCGAGGACCGCGCUUUAUGCAAGGAUGCUGGCGUAAUGGUCGUCAACGACCCGU
rnacentral:rRNA from 1 species